rnacentral:tRNA from 1 species
GCAUCGGUGGUUCAGUGGUAGAAUGCUCGCCUGCCACGCGAGCAACCCGGGUUCGAUUCCUGGCCGAUGCA